AGCCACCGCGGUCACACAAGAGACCCAAGUUAACCGUAUUCGGCGUAAAGAGUGGAACUAUGAUAUCACAGCAACUAGGAUCGAAAUACAGCUAAGCUGUCAUAAGCUUAAGGUGUACAUAAGCCCACUAUUAAGAUGAUCCUAGCAUUUUUGAUUAAUUUAGCCCCACGAAAGCUAGGGCCCAAACUGGGAUUAGAUACCCCAUUAUGCCUAGCCCUAAAUCUUGAUGUUUGCCACACCAAAGCAUCCGCCUGAGAACUACGAGCACAAACGCUUAAAACUCUAAGGACUUGGCGGUACCCCAAACCCACCUAGAGGAGCCUGUUCUGUAAUCGAUAACCCACGAUAUACCCAACCACUCCUUGCUAAGGCAGCCUACAUACCGCCGUCGCCAGCUCACCUUCACUGAGAGUUAAACAGUGAGCACAAUAGCCUAACUCGCUAGUAAGACAGGUCAAGGUAUAGCCUAUGGGGUGGAAGAAAUGGGCUACAUUUUCUAUUAUAGAAAACCUACGAAAGGAGGUAUGAAACAACCUCCGGAAGGCGGAUUUAGCAGUAAAGUGGGACAAUAGAGCCCUCUUUAAGUUGGCCCUGGGAUACGUACAUACCGCCCGUCACCCUCCUCAUAAGCCACCAAUCACCAUAACUAAUAACCUUCGCGGCUAAAGAUGAGGUAAGUCGUAACAAGGUAAGUGUACCGGA
rnacentral:rRNA from 1 species